rnacentral:rRNA from 1 species
UGGGGAAUAUUGGACAAUGGGCGCAAGCCUGAUCCAGCCAUGCCGCGUGAGUGACGAAGGCCUUAGGGUUGUAAAGCUCUUUUGUCCGGAACGCGGUUACGGACAAUACCCGUGACUACUGACGGUACCGGAGUAAGAAGCACCGGCUAACUAC